ensembl:lncRNA
UUUUCAGUAUGUACAACUUUAUUUUCUAGUUAAUGGAUACAAUUACUUCUAAAACACAGGGUUUUUUAAAGGGUAAAAAACUUAAAAUGUAUCUCCAAAUUUAAUACCUGACAUGCAGGGAAUGCUCAAAAUGCAUAUGAAAAUAUCACUUCUUCAUUCUACUGGAACAAGAUGAGCACAUCUAGUUGCAUUACUCACGGAUGUUAGUACAAAAUUGUGGAGAAUUUUAGCUUCAUUGUAAAACCCAUUAUUUUGGUAUCCUUCAUUUUCAGGGAUACAUAGAAAAUUAAGAAGCACAUACCCCUGAAGCACUGCAAAAGGUGUUUUAAUGCCUUCUGCAUGUCACCUUGCCAUUCUAUGUAACUGUAGGCUUUGUGUGAAAUGCUAUUUUUGUGACAAAUUAAGAACAAAUAAAACCUUGCCUGGAAGAAAUAUGCAGGCCAAGAAUAAGUGCAUUGCAUCAUAUUUUAUCAUAAUUAAUUCCAGCUGAAAUGUUGCAUUUGGAAAGGAAACUGAAAGACUGUUGAAUACCUGGUUUUUAUAAAUACCUGUAUGGACAAGAACUGGAGAAGGUUCAAAAAAUAGCGUAAGCCCACAUCUCUGUCAGGUAAGACUCUACACUCAAACUUCACGGUGCAUAUGUUCUCUUGAGGAAAAAACAUUCCACUGCCAUCUUUUCCGUAGUAUGUUCUGCACAAAAAUGAGCUGAAAGCUCACUUACCAGUCCCAGGCAGAAUAUUUUACUUUUUACAUCAAGUGUACAUCCACUUUAGAAAAGCAAUGCAGCCUCGGAGAAACAUGGCUAGCUGUGUCUCACUGCUCCUGGCCCUGUGCACUGGCAACAGUGCCUUAUGUUCAGGUUAAUUUUAGCUGGGGCCAUGGCCUGACAGGGAAGUUUUGUCAGUAACGUGAGCAGAAGUGCUGGCUUCCUCUGUUACGCUGACAAAUGGAAGAGAGUGAGGACAGUGCUAAAAGCGUGACCUGUCAAAUAAGAACAGCUGAGCCUAAGCUUAGUGUGAAGAGAAAUUAAUGCUUCCAUCUGAGGAGGUGUAGGUCAGCCUGGUGUGCUUCUUAAAGACGUGCCACAUUCUCAGCUUGCGGAGGUGGCUGCAGGCAUGCAAAUGGCAUGUGUCUGUGAAUAUAAAUCUGCAUCUUGCUGGCUUAGACUAGAACAUCAGUAUCACCUCAGUUCAAGCCUGUAUUGCAUUUUAAAUGGGAAACUUCACUGACUAUCAUGAAGGCUGAAAUUUUUGCCUUAGAGAAUACAGAUGUCAGUCUGGUGCUGUUACCUACUGCGUAAGAUACUGUCCAGCUGACAGAGUUCAUAGAAUUUUCUUUUUUCGCUGAUUUCGAUGGAGUUCACUCAGGUCCUUCGGACAGAAUCAUUUAUUUAGUGCUUAGCUUUUCACCUGAGAUUUUCUGCUAACAUUACUUGCAGCAAAAAUCUUUUCUGUGCAGUGUGAUACAGGAAAAUUUUGCUGAUGUAAUCAAAUAAGGAGAUUUAAAUAUGUGAACAUACUGAAACUAAUCAGCCCACAUUGUGAAACUUGAAAGGGAUUUUAUACCUGGAUAUUUCUUGCACUUUUGUUAUUAUCUGUUCCCUCACCAUGCAGGGAUUUCUGCAUUUAAAAAAUCAAUGUAGUGCUAAAAAAAUUUAAGGUAGCAGUCUGUUUUCCAUCAAAAAACAUUUCUUCUUCAUGAAAAGUAAGAACAUUGAUUUCCUACAUGUAUUUUUUAUAUAGUCCUAAAGUA